CUAUGGCCAUAUUGAAACACCGAUUCUCGUACGAUCACCGAAGUUAAGUAACGUCGAACCUGGUGAGUACUUAGAUAGGUGACCUCUUGGAAAUACCAGGUCCUGUA